rnacentral:rRNA from 1 species
GAUGAACGCUGGCGGCGUGCCUAACACAUGCAAGUCGAGCGAACAGACCAGGAGCUUGCUCCUCUCACGUUAGCGGCGCACGUGUGAGUAACACGCGGAUACCCUACCUGUAAGACUGGUAUAACCUCGGGACUCCGGAUCUAAUCCCCUAUAAUCUACUGAACCGCCUGGUUCCUUAGUCAACGACGGCUUUGCUGUCACUUUUCGCUGGAUCCGCGCCGCAUUAGCUAGUUGGUAAGUUAACCGCUUACCAAGGCAACGAUGCGUAGCCGACCUGAGCGAGUGAUCGGCCACACUGGAACUGAGACACGGUCCAGACUCCUACGGGAGGCAGCAGUAGCGAAUCUUCCGCAAUGGGCGAAAGCCUGACGGAGCAACGCCGCGUGAGUGAUGGAGGUCUUCGGAUCGUAAAACUCUGUUAUUAGGGGAAAACAAAUGUGUAAGUAACUAUGCACGUCUUGACGGUACCUAAUCAGAAAGCCACGGCUAACUACGUG